rfam:Gossypium raimondii Chr09_contig_1724, whole genome shotgun sequence.
GCGAGUAUAGCUCAGUUGGGAGAGCGUUAGACUGAAGAUCAAAAGGUCACGUGUUCGAUCCUCGUUCAUCACA